GGGCAAAUACAGGUGCUCAUUACCAGGCUGAUGAAGGCAUUCCUCAAUUGCAACGGACCAUCUAGUACAAAUGCUGAUUGCUUGCUGCCAAAGGUCGCUGGGCAAGCAUUGGCAAUGCUAGCAUCAGAAAAUGUGGAUAACUGCUUGGUUAUGUCGAAGGAACCAGAGUUCAUUAACAAACUAAGAAAUAUGAUCCUAAUCCAUGAUGAUAAUAAAUACAUAUAUGUGGCAGCAAGCUUGUUACGUAAUCUAUGCAUGCAUGCUCAACCCGAGCUCAUGGAAUCAGACCUAAAGGGACUAUCUCACAUCUUGCCAGCGGUAAGCCCUGAUAAUCUUGGUGUAUAGCAUUAUUAGAGGUGUUUAGCAUGCUGUAUCAUUUGUACAUUUGGUAUCUGUUAGUUAUUGUCAAAAUUUAUCUUUUCUUUUUUUUUCUUUUGUAAAAGUUGACAUCUAUUUACUACUUCCUCCGUUUCAUAUUAUAAGACUUUCUAGUUAAUGAAUCAUCUAUAUAAAUAUGGGCAAUGCUAGAAAGUCUUAUAACCUGAAACGGAGAUAGUACUAAACUAUAUAAGUAUAACUACAGUUUGUCCAACUAUGUUUAUCAUGCUACAUGACAUUGUUGAUUCCACUACAGGUGUUGGAAAGAAUAAUGGAUGCUGAAGGACCAGAACUAGAAAUCCUCAUUGGACUUAGUUCACAGAUAUGCAAAGUCCUUCCUGAAGAAUUUUCCCAAGAACUAGAGCACAGACAGAUUAAGCGAAGAUUCAUUGAGAGGCUAGUGGACUUACUGAAUGCAAACAUGAAACCAAGUGCUCAUUGCCCUGGGAUCCGGAGGGUGAUACUUGAGCAAUCCAUAUACAUGAUGGAGUGCAAUUCUCACUAUGCCAAUUGUUUCAAUGAAUACCAGAUGAUGGACGCACUGUCAAUUGUAGAAUUGACGUCCUCAAGG
rnacentral:lncRNA from 1 species